rnacentral:rRNA from 1 species
AACGAACGCUGGCGGCAUGCCUAACACAUGCAAGUCGAACGAUUGCCUUCGGGUGAUAGUGGCGCACGGGUGCGUAACGCGUGGGAAUCUGCCCUUAGGUUCGGAAUAACAGCUGGAAACGGCUGCUAAUACCGGAUGAUAUCGCGAGAUCAAAGAUUUAUCGCCUGAGGAUGAGCCCGCGUUGGAUUAUGUUGUUGGUGGGGUAAAGGCCUACCAAGCCGACGAUCCAUAGCUGGUCUGAGAGGAUGAUCAGCCACACUGGGACUGAGACACGGCCCAGACUCCUACGGGAGGCAGCAGUGGGGAAUAUUGGACAAUGGGCGCAAGCCUGAUCCAGCAAUGCCGCGUGAGUGAUGAAGGCCCUAGGGUUGUAAAGCUCUUUUACCCGGGAAGAUAAUGACUGUACCGGGAGAAUAAGCCCCGGCUAACUCCGUG